AUUGAACGCUGGCGGCAUGCCUUACACAUGCAAGUCGAACGGCAGCACGGGGCAACCUGGUGGCGAGUGGCGAACGGGUGAGUAAUGCAUCGGAACGUGCCAUUGAGUGGGGGAUAACGUAGCGAAAGUUGCGCUAAUACCGCAUAUUCUGUGAGCAGGAAAGCAGGGGGACCGCAAGGCCUUGCGCUCUUUGAGCGGCCGAUGUCAGAUUAGCUAGUUGGUGAGGUAAAGGCUCACCAAGGCGACGAUCCGUAGCGGGUCUGAGAGGAUGAUCAGCCGCACUGGGACUGAGACACGGCCCAGACUCCUACGGGAGGCAGCAGUGGGGAAUAUUGGACAAUGGGCGCAAGCCUGAUCCAGCAAUGCCGCGUGGGUGAAGAAGGCCUGCGGGUUGUAAAGCCCUUUAAGCGGGAGGAAAGCCGGGGUGUCAAUAGCGCCCUGGGGUGACGUUACCGCAG
rnacentral:rRNA from 1 species